GUACUUGUACCGACUGGAUGAGCAGCGAACGGGUGAGUAACGCGUGGGGAAUCUGCCUUUGAGCGGGGGACAACAUUUGGAAACGAAUGCUAAUACCGCAUAAAAACUUUAAACACAAGUUUUAAGUUUGAAAGAUGCAAUUGCAUCACUCAAAGAUGAUCCCGCGUUGUAUUAGCUAGUUGGUGAGGUAAAGGCUCACCAAGGCGAUGAUACAUAGCCGACCUGAGAGGGUGAUCGGCCACAUUGGGACUGAGACACGGCCCAAACUCCUACGGGAGGCAGCAGUAGGGAAUCUUCGGCAAUGGACGAAAGUCUGACCGAGCAACGCCGCGUGAGUGAAGAAGGUUUUCGGAUCGUAAAACUCUGUUGGUAGAGAAGAACGUUGGUGAGAGUGGAAAGCUCAUCAAGUGACGGUAACUACCCAGAAAGGGACGGCUAACUACGUGCCAGCAGCCGCGGUAAUACGUAGGUCCCGAGCGUUGUCCGGAUUUAUUGGGCGUAAAGCGAGCGCAGGUGGUUUAUUAAGUCUGGUGUAAAAGGCAGUGGCUCAACCAUUGUAUGCAUUGGAAACUGGUAGACUUGAGUGCAGGAGAGGAGAGUGGAAUUCCAUUGUGUUACCGG
rnacentral:rRNA from 1 species